rnacentral:rRNA from 1 species
UACGAGAGCCCCGAGCGUUAUCCGGAAUUAUUGGGCGUAAAGGGUGCGUAGGUGGCGCUGUUAGUCGUUUGUCAAAGCCUUGGGCUUAACCCAAGAUCCGCGAACGAAACGGCAGCGCUUGAGAGUGUGAGGGGUAUAGGGAACUCAUGGUGUAGGGGUGAAAUCCGUUGAUAUCAUGGGGAACACCAAAAGCGAAGGCACUAUACUGGCACACAUCUGACACUCAAGCACGAAAGCGUGGGUAGCGAAUGGG